CUAAGAAUCUUGCGCAAUGGGCGAAAGCCUGACGCAGCAAUUCCGCGUGGAGGACGAAGGCCCUCGGGUCGUAAACUCCUUUUGCGAGGGAAGAAGUUCUGACGGUACCUCGCGAAUAAGCCACGGCUAACUACGUGCCAGCAGCCGCGGUAAUACGUAGGUGGCGAGCGUUGUCCGGAUUUAUUGGGCGUAAAGAGCCCGCAGGCGGCUUGGCAAGUUUCGAGUGAAAUCUCCCGGCUCAACUGGGAGGGCGCUCGGAAAACUGCCAGGCUUGAGGCAGGGAGAGGGAUGUGGAAUUCCCGGUGUAGUGGUGAAAUGCGUAGAUAUCGGGAGGAACACCAGUGGCGAAGGCGGCAUCCUGGCCCUGUCCUGACGCUCAGGGGCGAAAGCGUGGGGAGCAAACC
rnacentral:rRNA from 1 species